CCUACGGGUGACAGCAGUGGGGGAUAUUGCACAAUGGGGGAAACCCUGAUGCAGCAACGCCGCGUGAGUGAAGAAGUAUUUCGGUAUGUAAAGCUCUAUCAGCAGGGAAGAGAAUGACGGUACCUGACUAAGAAGCCCCGGCAAACUACGUGCCAGCAGCCGCGGUAAUACGGAGGAUGCGAGCGUUAUCCGGAUUUAUUGGGUUAAAAGGGUGCGUAGGCGGGCAUUUAAGCCGGCGGUCAAAUGUCGGGGCUCAACCCCGGCCUGCCGUCGGAACUGGGUGCCUUGAGUGGGCGAGAAGUAUGCGGAAUGCGUGGUGUAGCGGUGAAAUGCAUAGAUAUCACGCAGAACCCCGAUUGCGAAGGCAGCAUACCGGCGCCCUACUGACGCUGAGGCACGAAAGUGCGGGUAUCGAACAGGAUUAGAUACCCCUGUAGUC
rnacentral:rRNA from 1 species